ACUCAAAGGAUUUGGCGGUAUUUUAGUCUAGUUAGAGGAGCCUGUUCUGUAAUCGAUAAACCACGUAUAAAUUUACUUCUUAAAGUUGAUCAGUUUGUAUACCGUCAUUAUGAGAUAACUUUUACAAAAUUGUUGUUAAAAUAGAGUAUAUCCUAGUAUAUUAGAUCAAGGUGCGGCUAAUUAAGGAGGUUGAAAUGGGCUACAAUAAUAUUUAUUUAUAUGGAUUUCUUUUUGUAAAUGGUAGGAUGAAGGUGGAUUUAAUUGUAAUUUUUGUUUAGAAAGAAAAAAUGAUAAUAGCUCUAAAAUAUGU
rnacentral:rRNA from 1 species